rnacentral:lncRNA from 1 species
AUUGGCUUUCUUGCAUCAAAGGAAGGAGUUGUAGAGUAAAGAACUCGCCUGAGAAGCAAAGAUUGGACGAGUCUUCGUUCAUCGCGAGGGCUAAUGUCAUCGAGAACUUGACGCAGUUUUGGGCUGAUAAGUAUCAGCCAAGCUCGCUGAAAGGGUUCACUUACCAUAAACAAGAGGCUCAACUUCUCAGACAACUUGUAAGAGAAUGAUUUCAAAAUUCUUUUUCUUACCAAUCUGGAUUCAGACUUGAUAUCCCUUUGGUGUUCUCUUUUUCAUCAGGUGUCUCGUGAGAAUAUACCUCAUAUCUUGUUUAAAGGACCGUCAAUCUCUGGGAAGACAGCAUUGUUGAUGGCACUUCUUGGAGACAUAUUUGGUGAUGCUUGUCUCAACGUAUGUCUUUUUUUUCCUGCACUUCGAAUAGUUGAUGAUUAAUAUAAAAGACAAUCUGAACCCUCUCCCAACUACUCGAAUGCAACAGUUCAUAACAAAAUCAUUCAAUUUACUUUACUUUUUCAAUGUUUGAUCUGAUGGGAUGGAAAAAUAUUGCUUCUUUUCUUUUGCAGAUGUCACACGACUUGAGAUUCUUCCAGGCCCAGGUUUUAGAAUCAUCUCUCUCAGAUGCUAAUCUUUCUUUUCCACUGCACAGUUCUG